ACGGGUGAGUAACGCGUAAUCUACCUGCCCUUCAUAGGGGGAUAACAACGGGAAACCGUUGCUAAUACCGCGUACGAUUCACGAGCGGCAUCACUUGUGAAUGAAAGGUGGCCUCUAUAUCUAAGCUAUCGCUGAAGGAGGGGAUUGCGUCUGAUUAGCUAGUUGGAGGGGUAACGGCCCACCAAGGCCAUGAUCAGUAGCCGGUCUGAGAAGAUGAGCGGCCACAUUGGGACUGAGAUCGGCCCAAACUCCUACGGGAGGAAUCUUUGGGGAAUCUUCCUCAACGGAUCAAAGUCUGACGGAUGUCUCCGCGUGAGUGAAGAAAGUCUUCGGAUUUUUGACCUCUGUUAAUCGGGAGAGAUAAUUCCGCGGGAAUAUUGCGGAACCUUGACGGUACCCGCAUAGAAAGCCACGGCUAACUACGUGCGAUAAUACGUAGUAAGCCAUAGGUGAUCAGAAUUAUCUGGGAAUUAUUGGGACAAAGACGGCUAAGUGGGCCUAAACAGAUAUGUCUCAGAAUCCGCGUGCUCACUGCGUACUGAACUGGGAAACUAGUAGUCUGUGAGUAGCAAAGAAGAAAUCCGACAUCUCUCAGGUGAAAAUGCGUAUAGAUGAUAUAAAAAAUAACGAAAAGCCAAGGGCAAACGCGCUGUCUAUAACACCAGAAUUUC
rnacentral:rRNA from 1 species